rnacentral:rRNA from 1 species
UGGGGAAUAUUGCACAAUGGGCGCAAGCCUGUUGCAGCCAUGCCGCGUGUAUGUAGAAGGCCUUCGGGUUGUAAAGUACUUUCAGCGGGGAGGAAGGGAGUAAAGUUAAUACCUUUGCUCAUUGACGUUACCCGCAGAAGAAGCACCGGCUAACUCCGUGCCAGCAGCCGCGGUAAUACGGAGGGUGCAAGCGUUAAUCGGAAUUACUGGGCGUAAAGCGCACGCAGGCGGUUUGUUAAGUCAGAUGUGAAAUCCCCGGGCUCAACCUGGGAACUGCAUCUGAUACUGGCAAGCUUGAGUCUCGUAGAGGGGGGUAGAAUUCCAGGUGUAGCGGUGAAAUGCGUAGAGAUCUGGAGGAAUACCGGUGGCGAAGGCGGCCCCCUGGACGAAGACUGACGCUCAGGUGCGAAAGCGUGGGGAGCAAACAGG